CCUAGACUGGGGCAUUUCAUACCUGAAAAUACCAAUUUUACAGUAAAAGGCCAAUGAAAUAUACAAAAGAACCAAAGAGGAAACAAAAAGUUCACUAUUUUUCUUUUUCUUAUUCUGUUCUUUUUCUCUCUCCUGUUCUUCAGCCCCUCAAUCUUGAAUUAAUUUUCUUCUCCACUGACCAGGAAAUAUGAGGAAACAAGCCUGACUAUGGAAAGGUGUCCCUUUUCUGCCUUCUUCGUGUGAACAGACAAACUGUGAGUGAAAUACCUCCACAGCAAGAGUAAAGAUACCUGGAAAUCUCUUCUUUUCCGACCAUGUGCAGCUUUCUGUACCUGCCCAGAAAAACUCGGAUCCAGAAGCUUUCUUCAGUAUGUGAUCUCCCAGGCAGAAAGAAGAAAUGUCACCUGUUCUGUCUACUGGGAAGCACUGAAGGUCUGUGGAAGAUGAAAAAUGCUGGAUGGCUAUGUGAGUGGUGGACAGCCAUGCCAGAUGUGUCUCCUUGGCCCUGA
rnacentral:lncRNA from 1 species